rnacentral:lncRNA from 1 species
AUGGAACUCGAGAGCAAUUUUAUCGUCUUGAGUGAUCACAUGGGGGUACACGCGCUCUGCUCUGAUGACACGUGGCCGCUUGUAUUUGCGGCCUGUGUGAGGCUGAGUCCUUGGUCUGGGGGCUCUUCAGUUCGUUUUUUUUUUUUUAAGAUUUUAUUUAUUUACUUGAGAGAGAGAGAGAGAGAGAGAGGGCAGGAGCCGGGAGGGGCAGAGGGAGCCGCAGACGCCCCGCAAACAGGUGCCGGGCCCGGGGCUCCCGCAGGCCCCGACCAGCCCCCCGCCCGGGCGCCCCGCAGGGGCUGCUGCUUGAGGCUCAUUUUCCCAGGGGAUCACGGGGCCUGUCGGGGGGCCGGCGGCCGGUGGCCCGCUUCCAGGCACGCCUGCGCUCCGUUUAAGAACAGGCGACAGGCUUACUUUACUUUCCCCUACAAGGAUCCGGCUGCCUCAUCCCUGCUGGAGGCUCCCGCUCAAGCCCGCCUGCAGGACCCAGAGCUCCCUUGGUGGCUCUCCGGCCGCUGCUCCCCCGCCGUCCCCGGUCCCCAGGCCUCAGGCCUGCUGCGGGGCUGUGGCUUCUGCUCCCAGGGCCCUCGCUGUCCCUCCCGGCCUGCGGGCCAUGUCCCGGCGGGGAGCCCUCGCUGUCCCCUCGCUGUCCCCUUGCUGUCCCUCCUGGGAGCCCUCGCUGUCCCCUUGCUGUCCCUCCCAGGGCCCUCACUGUCCCCUUGCUGUCCCUCCUGGGAGCCCUCACUGUCCCCUUGCUGUCCCUCCCAGGGCCCUCACUGUCCCCUUGCUGUCCCUCCUGGGAGCCCUCGCUGUCCCUCCGGCCUGUGGGCCACGUCUCUCCCAGGAGCCCUCACUGUCCCUCACCCCCUCGGGCUACGUCUCUUCUGGGAGCCCUCACUGUCCCUCCCGGCCUGCGGGCCACGUCCCUCCUGGGAACCCUCGCUGUCCCCUUGCUGUCCCUCCUGGGAGCCCUCACUGUCCUUCCGGCCUGUGGGCCACGUCCCUCCCGGGAGCCUUUGCUGUUCCCUUGCUCUCCCUCCCAGGAGCCUUCGCUGUCCCUCCUACCCUUGGGCCACGUCCCUCCCAGGAACCUCACUGUCCCCUCUCUGUCCCUCCCAGGAGCCCUCGCUGUCCCUCCCCCCUUGGGCCACAUCCCUCCCAGGAACCCUCGCUGUCCCCUCGCUGUCCCUCCCCCCCUUGGGCCAUGUCCCUCCCGGGGCCCUCGCUGUCCCUCCCUCUGUGACCACACAGGGGCUGCUGGCUGCUUGGCUCCUCCAAGCGUCUCCGGGCUUCCACAAGAAGCACAGUCACACCGAACAUUCUGUGAUUUUAUUAUUACUCUUUUUUGACUGCGAAGCUUCCGUGGGCGCCCGUCAUGCUCAGCACCCGCCUCCGCGGUCACGGGCGCUGUCUCUCUCCCUGUCUCCUCCGUCCUCGUCCGCGGUCCACCGGGAGCUCCUGCCCAGGCACUCGGGGUGUGUCCCCGAAGCCAGGCUCUCCCCGACCACUUCUUAG